rnacentral:lncRNA from 1 species
CCCCUCCCUUAUGAAAAGUUCUGGAUCCGCCACUGUAAACUAAUUGAUAGUAAAUAGCAAAUAUUAUUCAUUUUCGUUUUCCUCCCAAAAUAACCCAAACUGAAACACGUUAAGCAAGGAUGACACAUGCUAGAACUCAAAAGGACAGCAGAAAGCAAAUUUAUAUACUUUAUUCAUAGUCUUUGUAUGUUCAAAGUACAGAAAAACACAAACCGGAAGUCUAAUCUGACUUAAAGUUUUGUCCAAUGACGGGAAAAUAUCCGGACG